UAUAUAACGUACAUUACGAUCGAAAAUACGAUAUUCAAGGUUGGGUUAAAGCAAAACGACGACGCGACGGCCGUUUAAGCGACACACGAAAAAAAAAACGAGAAACCGGUGUGUGUGUGUGAAAUUGAAUAUUCAUGAACGCUGGUAUGUGCAGAGUGUUCGUGCAUGGUGCCAAUCCCCGUAUAGUACAUAAUAAAUACUAUUUACGUAUGUGUAUAUUAUAUAGUCGUGUCGAAGAGAGUGUGAAAAGAAAAUCGUAUAAGUAUAAUGUAACACACGGACAAACGGACUGUGGGCGAGGACAGAGGGUAAAAAGUACAAAAAUACGAAAAACCUCGUCGUGGUCGUAUAUACG